GACCAUGUAGCUCAGUGGCUAGAGCAUCAUAUGGGGCGCAUUUUCCCAGGAGGUCCCAGGUUCAAUUCCUGGUGUGGUCA